GAUGGACGCUAGCGGCAGGCCUAAUACAUGCAAGUCGAACGGUGUCUUCGGACAUAGUGGCGCACGGGUGCGUAACACGUAUGCAACCUACCUUACAUUGGGGGAUAGCCUUUCGAAAGGGAGAUUAAUACCGCAUAAGACAGUAGCUGGGCAUCCAGCAGCUGUUAAAGAUUUAUCGAUGUAAGCUGGGCAUGCGUCCAAUUAGCUAGUUGGUGAGGUAACGGCUCACCAAGGAAAUGAUUGGUAGGGGAACUGAGAGGUCAAUCCCCCACACUGGAACUGAGAUACGGGCCAGACUCCUACGGGAGUCAGCAGUAGGGAAUAUUGGGCAAGGGACGCAAGUCUGACCCAGCCAUGCCGCGUGCAGGAUGAAGGCGUUAUGCGUUGUAAACUGCUUUUAUACAGGAAGAAACGACUCUUGCGAGAGGCAUUGACGGUACUGUAUGAAUAAGCACCGGCUAACUCCGUGCCAGCCGCCGCAGUAACAC
rnacentral:rRNA from 1 species